UACGGAGGGGACUAGCGUUGUUCGGAAUUACUGGGCGUAAAGCGCACGUAGGCGGAUUUGUAAGUCAGGGGUGAAAUCCCGGGGCUCAACCUCGGAACUGCCUUUGAUACUGCAAAUCUCGAGUCCGGAAGAGGUGAGUGGAAUUCCUAGUGUAGAGGUGAAAUUCGUAGAUAUUAGGAAGAACACCAGUGGCGAAGGCGGACUCACUGGCCCGGUACUGACGCUGAGGCGCGAAAGCGUGGGGAGCAAACAGGG
rnacentral:rRNA from 1 species